rnacentral:rRNA from 1 species
UCGUGGAGCGAUCUGGCAGGUUUAUUCCGGUAACGAGCGAGGCCGCGCACGACAGCCGCAGCAACGCGGAGGCAGGGCGGCAAAAACA